rnacentral:rRNA from 1 species
GGGUCAGUAGGUUGGUCGUGCCACCGGUACGUACUGGUCUCACUGAUUCCUCCUUCCUGAAGAACCGUAAUGCCAUUAAUUUGGUGUUGCGGGGGAACAGGACUGUUACUUUGAAAAAAUUAGAGUGUUUAAAGCAAGCUAACGCUUGAAUACAUUAGCAUGGAAUAAUGAAAUAGGACGAUCGAUCCUAUUUUGUUGGUUUCUAAGAUUGACGUA